ensembl:lncRNA
AUUUGACCAUUUUUUGGACAGGUGCGGGAGCUGCUGGCCAUUUGCCCUAGCAGGCGGAGAGAGGUCGUGGAGUGUCAGCCUAUGGUAUCUGAGGUCCAGGAGAGAUGACCUGCGCUGUUUUCCUCUGAGGAGAUAUCUGAAAAUUUCAUCGGAUCACAAGCAAAGACCUCCUGGGGACCUUCAAUGCAUCCCUUGACAAAGUUGUGCCUGGCCUGCUGAAACUGUACUGGUCUAAGAAGGGAGUUCUUGGUGAGGAGAUGGAAGACCUCCUGGAUAAACUUGAUGAACAGACAUCCAACACUGUGUCCAACGGGCACUGAGAGGCCUGCCCAUUUUCCUCAAGAGAAGAUGCAACAGAGGUUUUCCUGAAGUGCUUAGACACUGACAUUUUGGAACCAGUGUUGAACGGUGCAUCAGUUGCCAUCCUCACCAUCCUACAAGAUGACGAUGCUGAUACGUCUGUACGAGAACAUGCAGUUGUGUUGGAAGGGGACAUCGUGCUACAUAACAUUCCAGAUCUCUCUACUGCCCUGGCACACCUCUUUGGCCUUCUGUAUGCCCUCAACAUUGAUUAUCCAAAGCAGAUGAGUUUUACCUUUGAAGCAAUUCAGGCCAUCUUAUUUUGGCCUGGUCGGACAAUAUGAAGGUGAAGUGGAU